GACGAACGCUGGCGGCGUGCUUAACACAUGCAAGUCGAACGGAAAGGCCCUGCUUUUGUGGGGUGCUCGAGUGGCGAACGGGUGAGUAACACGUGAGUAACCUGCCCUUGACUUUGGGAUAACUUCAGGAAACUGGGGCUAAUACCGGAUAGGAGCUCCUGCUGCAUGGUGGGGGUUGGAAAGUUUCGGCGGUUGGGGAUGGACUCGCGGCUUAUCAGCUUGUUGGUGGGGUAGUGGCUUACCAAGGCUUUGACGGGUAGCCGGCCUGGGAGGGUGACCGGCCACAUUGGGACUGAGAUACGGCCCAGACUCCUACGGGAGGCAGCAGUGGGGAAUAUUGCACAAUGGGCGGAAGCCUGAUGCAGCAACGCCGCGUGCGGGAUGACGGCCUUCGGGUUGUAAACCGCUUUCGCCUGUGACGAAGCGUGAGUGACGGUAAUGGGAAAAGAAGCACCGGCUAACUACGUGC
rnacentral:rRNA from 1 species